rnacentral:rRNA from 1 species
AAGGGUGAGUAAUGCAUGGGCAACCUGCCCUCAGGACGGGGAUAGCAGCGUCCGCUUCGGCGGGCUUUAGCGAAAGUGCUGGUAAUACCCGAUGAUGUCGCGAGAUCGCAUGAUGUUGCGACCAAAUGGUGGGACCUUCGGGUUUCCGCCUGAGGAGGGGCUCAUGUCCUAUUAGCUUGUUGGUGAGGUAACGGCUCACCAAGGCAUCGAUGGGUAGCCGGUCUGAGAGGAUGAUCGGCCACACUGGGACUGAGACACUGCCCAGACUCCUACGGGAGGCUGCAGUCGAGAAUCUUCCGCAAUGCGCGAAAGCGUGACGGAGCGACGCCGCGUGGAGGACGAAGGCCUUCGGGUUGUAAACUCCUAACAGAGGGUAUGAAGGUGCCUGUCGACCCACUUCGGGCACUUGACGUCAACCUCAAAUGAAGCUCCGGCUAACUACGUGCCAGCAGCCGCGGUAAUACGUAGGGAGCGAGCGUUGUUCGGAAUCACUGGGCAUAAAGGGUGCGUAGGCGGUUCGAUGUGUCCGUUGUGAAAUCCCCCGGCUCACCCGGGGAACUGCGGCGGAAACUGUCGGGCUUGAGGACAGGAGGGGAGAGUGGAACUCUAGGUGGAGCGGUGAAAUGCGUUGAUAUCUAGAGGAACGCCGGUGGCGAAAGCGGCUCUCUGGUCUGUCUCUGACGCUGAUGCACGAAAGCUAGGGUAGCGAACGGGAUUAGAUACCCCGGUAGUCCUAGCCGUAAACGAUGGGCACUAGUGGAGGGGGAUUCAACGCCUUCUCUGUCGAAGCUAAUGUGAUAAGUGCCCCGCCUGGGGAGUAUGGUCGCAAG